UCCGGAGAGGAAUGGCCAGUAGCGGGUACGUUAAUUUCGUUACUUCUGGUUUUCCACUUCUGAUGACUUUUUUUUUUUUUUUUGGUUUUGGAAGACCGCUUCUGAUGACUUUGGUAUUGGCAAUAAAUGGCCUUUCUCUUGCCCUUUAUAAUUCGCAACGGUUCUCCUCAUCUUCACCAGAAAUCGACUUCUAGCCCUCUGUUACUAUUUUUCUCAUCCUCUGUCUCCAUUCUUUUCACUAUGGCAGACUCCGAGUGCAUCUACAUUGAUUCACUCGAGACCGAGUGUGUUGAAGCCUAGAUCCUGGUUAAGGUAGACAGGGUUUAUGGUGGGACAGACCUUGAUAUAAAUGAUAUGGAUUUCAGAUGUCCCAAGAAGGUGUUUUCGGUCGAUUUCAUCGUCUUCGACUAUGCUUGGCCUCGAGUUAUCAUCUAUGUAUCUUUGGAGAUGAGAACAUUGUACGGUUCUGCAAUUGUUUGGCAGAGAGGAAGAGUUACUUUAUUCAAAAUAUCUAGGUUGCUGCUGGCGGUUUCGGCAUCCAUCCAAGUAUUCACGUAGAAUCGAUAAACGAGACAACUAUCCAGGUGUGGGCUUAAAAGCCUUCAAGACUUGAUUGGCGCAAACUGGUCAAGGUUCAUAGGAGGUACGGUCGUACAGAUCUUUGAGCGAGAUUUGGGGUACCCAAAGAUUCUUUUAAGCCUAGACAUGAUUGUUUUCGAUGCCAUGGUGACUCAGAUGAUAGUAUCUAUUGUUGGAGACAAACUCAUCAAACGAUUCCAUAAUGUUUUCCAGGAUACUUAUACCUUCUUGAUAAAUGGCCUGAGGAUUGUGGGUGGCGGUGAGCCCAUUCAUGAUGGGUACACAUUGAGCUUCUGCCGAAAGCUUACUAUUCAUUGCUACCUGUUAAUUAGAAUGGUUGAUCAUAACUUGAAGCUUUCUGCUGUUGAAGAAGUGAGGAAGGAUAUUCAACCAGGAUGGCAUGUAAAGGAACUCAAACUCUUUAAAAUUCACACCAACCGGGAAGAAUUUGAUCAGCUUAGUGCUUCACAGUGAUUGUGCUAUUGAGGCAACAAUUGAGUGUCAACCAUUCAUGAAUUGGGAUCAGUUGUCUUUAGAUGUUCAGUAUGCAGUGGUGAACAGGAAAUAAGGGGAUUGCGAAUUAAUGGAUUUUGCAAAUGCGACAAAGGUUUAUUGGAAUCCCAAAUUCCAAGAGACGAGGAAGCUUCCACGGAAGCUGUUUAGUGUGACGAAGAGAAAACGAGUCAAUAUGUAGAAGGAUUUGCCGUGAAGUGAGGUUAUGUUGAGGAUGGGUGAUUCCAGUAUUACCUUAAAUGUAUUGUUAGAUUGUAGUUUGGUUAGAAGACCAUUGCUGCCUUUGGCCGUGGUCUUAAUUUUCAACUUAGUAUUUAGUUUUCUUAUAUUCCAAUUCCAGUUUGAAUCAUGAACCGUUAGUUCAGUGGUCCUUUAUGCAUGUUGUCCUUAAUGAAUAAAUUAAUUGUUGUGAGUUCCAUCA